UACGUAGGGGGCGAGCGUUGUCCGGAUUUAUUGGGCGUAAAGAGCGUGUAGGCGGUUCGGUAAGUCUGUCGUGAAAUCCUGAGGCUCAACCUUGGACGUGCGAUGGAUACUGCCGGGCUAGAGGAUGGUAGAGGCGAGUGGAAUUCUCGGUGUAGCGGUGAAAUGCGCAGAUAUCUGGAGGAACACCGGUGGCGAAGGCGGCAUCCUGGACCGGUAUUGACGCUGAGGCGCGAAAGCCAGGGGAGCAAACGGG
rnacentral:rRNA from 1 species